rnacentral:rRNA from 1 species
GACGAACGCUGGCGGCGUGCUUAACACAUGCAAGUCGAGCGGUAAGGCCCUUUCGGGGGUACGACGAGCGGCGAACGGGUGAGUAACACGUGGGUGACCUGCCCUCAGCGUCUGGGAUAAGCCGUGGGAAACUGGGUCUAAUACCGGAUAUGACUCCAUGACGCAUGUUGUGGGGUAGAAAGCCUUGUGCGGCUGAGGAUGGGCCCGCGGCCUAUCAGCUUGUUGGUGGGGUGAUGGCCUACCAGCGACGACGGUAGCCGGCCUGAGAGGGCGACCGGCCACACUGGGACUGAGACACGGCCCAGACUCCUACGGGAGGCAGCAGUGGG